CAAAAAGAAACUAGCCGUUACGGCUCACAAAUUCAAAUGCACAACACUAAGUUGCCCGUUUGUUUUUUCAUUAAAGAGGAAGAGAAACAAAUCUCUUCUUCUUCGUCCUCGAAAAUACCUGCAAAAUCAGUAGAAGCCAUUCUCUCUCUUUCAACACUCCUCUCUCUCUCUCUCGAAUACUGCAUUGUUCUUAUCCUGAGAUUUCUAUUUCCUUGCGAUUGAAUUAUGGUUGGUUGAUUUCUUUAUUUGAGACGAUUGCUUAAUCUGGACCUGAUGAAGAGAGAAAUUAAAGAACUGAGGCGCCAGAGAGAUUUUGCACAAUCUCAAGUGGAUGAGUUGCAGAAAAAACUUCAAGAGGACCAACGGCUUCAAGCACAUUGGAAUCAACACCACGUCCAUCGGAGCAACUUGGAGCUCUAGAAGUAUUGCAAAAGGAAAGUCAUAGUCUAGGUGAUCGAGAUGCAGCGGAGUCCAUUGCCAAGCUGCAAGGGAAAUGCAAUCUAUUCAAAAAAGAUUGUUGAUGUUGUUGAGAAGGAAGAAGGGGAGUUAGAGGAGGUGAGAUUGAUUUGGAUAUGGAACCAGAUCAUUUCAUGCAGUUUGUACAUUGGAGGGCUUGCAGGAAGUUGUUCUGGGAAAUAGCAUUUCCAAUAAAGAUGAUCUUAUUCAAUUGUCAUUCACUGCUGUUCGAGUGAUUAAUUCUGUUUUCUCCUCGAUGAACCAUAUAGUAAGAGAACAUAACAGGGACAGCUUUUCAAGGUGUCAAUUUUUGUAAUACUUAUUCUUUCCUAUAGUGAAAUUUUUUACGUCACCAAUGUGGAAUAAUCCCUUCUGUUACAUAUUGUAGACUUCUUUCUCUGGUAAAUAGGUUCCUUCUCUUUUCACCCCUGAGCAUUCUGAAGAGGUAUGGCUAGUGUAAUUUCAAUCUUAGAUCUUGUUGUUUGCUUUGUUACUUGCUAUGGUAUUACUGUCACUUGGGUUGAUCUUCUGUCAUUAAGAAGUCUAGAAGUGGUAUAUGUUUCCACAGAUUGAGAUCGUGCUUGCCUCUAGAGAUUCUUCUGGUGUUUUUCUGAGUUCUUAGAAGGAUAAUGAUGUGAUUGGUAAAAAGUUCAGGUUACAGAACUGAAGGAGUUUCGAAUUUUAAGAAUAUGCUGAUCCAAGUUUCAAAUUUUAAGAAUAGAGCGGCUUUGCUUCCUUUAUUCUACCUCCACAAAGAUCAGAUGAGGUCAAAGUUUUAUCUUUCUUUUUAUGGUUUUUGCGGUACUUGCCUCUAUAUCUCUACCAAUUGUAGCAGCUAUCUAUUUCAUCUAGACCAUAUUUAGACAGCUUCUGCUGGCCUUGGUUUCUCUUUAUGUUCUGUAACCUCCUGAACAGUUUCAGGACAAAAGUUGGCUUCUCUUUCUUCAUGGGUAUUUCAGUACUCCAAUACUUCAGAUAGUACUAUAAUCAAAAUAGGAUCAAAAUGCGGGUCAUGUUUACACUGGUUCCUUUGUUAGACCUCCACAAAUAUCAGUACCCCAAUUAUUGGGCUGCCUGUCAUCCAUCACCUACACGGGACCUACACGGGAAUCAGUACUUCCUUUACAGUAUAAUAUUUGCAGUUCAUUUGGUUCUCUGUAAUAUUAGGAAAUUCAUUUUCAUUUUCUUCAGCUGGAUAUAAUCUUGAGGAUGAGGAGGGCAUUAUUGAACCGGAGCCAGAAAACUUUUAGAGAGCAAAGAUAUCAGAUUAAUGAACGCAGUAGGACGCAGUUUUAUUUCAGUACUCCAAUACUUCAGAUAGUACUAUAAUCAAAUAGGAUCAAAAUGCGGGUCAUGUUUACACUGGUUCCUUUGUUAGACCUCCACAAAUAUCAGUACCCCAAUUAUUGGGCUGCCUGUCAUCCAUCACCUACACGGGACCUACACGGGAAUCAGUACUUCCUUUACAGUAUAAUAUUUGCAGUUCAUUUGGUUCUCUGUAAUAUUAGGAAAUUCAUUUUCAUUUUCUUCAGCUGGAUAUAAUUGAGGAUGAGGAGGGCAUUAUUGAACCGGAGCCAGAAAACUUUUAGAGAGCAAAGAUAUCAGAUUAAUGAACGCAGUAGGACGCAGUUUUAUUUGUUACAGCAGCAUUUGGCAGAAAUUGGCAAUGCUGAUGUUGGAGAUGAGCCUGCAAUUUCUCUAUCCUGAAUGUUUUCUUCUCUCUUUUUAGCCUGCGAACUUACACGAACUGACACAUUACUUGCAGUUGUUAAUAUCCAAUGAAUGCUUAAAUUAAAUAUACCCUAUCGGGACUCCAAGCUCACUCAUAUAUUGCAGCACUCUCUCGGCAGGAAUGCACGAACUGAGCAGAACCACAGCCUCCUGACCCUUCAAAGGAGAAAGACUUAAAAAGUUCAGCUGUGACAGGUGCUAAUUACCCAGUUUUGAUAUCCUAAGCGGUAUUUUAUGGACUUUUAGGAUUAAUUUAUUUAUUCCUUAUUUGACUUUUUGAGGCUUUUAAGCUAUGGUUGUAAUUAAUUCCCCCUUAAUUGCCCCGAUCUCCUUAAUCCCUUUCUAGAUUUCUCUUUUCUCCUCCUCCCUUCUAUGUAUGUUUUAUUUUAUUGUUUUUAGAUUUUCACCACACAUGUUUAAGGGACUAAAAUCAAUUUAGAAUUU